CUCUCAGACCUUCCACAGCCCCAGCAGACCACAGCGUAAAGUAUGGCUGAUGCCACCACAGAAUCAUAAAAGGUUUUCAACAGUGUUAAUAGUUUCAAC